rnacentral:rRNA from 1 species
GAUGAACGCUGGCGGCGUGCCUAAUACAUGCAAGUCGAGCGAACAGACGAGGCGCUUGCUCCUCUGACGUUAGCGGCGGACGGGUGAGUAACACGUGGAUAACCUACCUAUCAUACUGGGAUAACUUCGGGAAACCGGAGCUAAUACCGGAUAAUAUAUUGAACCGCAUUGUUCAAUGGUGAAAGACGGUUUUGCUGUCUCUUAUAGAUGGAUCCGCGCCGCAUUGGCUAGUUGGGCAGGUAACGGCUUACCAAGGCAACGAUGCGUAGCCGAACUGAGAGGGGGAUCGGCCACCCUGGAACGUGGCCGCGGACCAGGCUACUACGGGAGGCAGCAGAAGGGAAUGGUCCGCAAUGGGCGAAAGCCUGACGGAGUAACGGCGAGUGAGUGAUGAAGGUCUUCGGAGCGUAAAACCCUGUUACUAGUGAAGAACAAAUGUGGAAGUAACUAUGGACGUCUUGACGGUACCGAAUAAGAAAGCAACGGCUAACUACGUG